GAGGUGUAGGUAUGGCGACAUACCGUUGGCAGCUUCUUAGAGGGACAUUUCGGGUUUACCGGAAGGAAGUUUGUGGCAAUAACAGGUCUGUGAUGCCCUUAGAUGUUCUGGGCCGCACGCGCGCUACACUGACGACUUCAACAAGUUUUUUUCUUUGAAAAAGUCCUUGGCUGGAAAGUCUGGGUAAUCUUUUAAACGGUCGUCGUGAUGGGGCUAGAUUCUUGCAAUUAUUAAUCUCCAACGAGGAACC
rnacentral:rRNA from 1 species